rnacentral:ribozyme from 15 species
AUAUUUUAUUUUAUUUUUUUUCUUUUUUUUUUUUCUUC